rnacentral:rRNA from 1 species
CAGGACGAACGCUGGCGGCGUGCUUAACACAUGCAAGUCGAACGGGAGUAUUGAAGAAGCUUGCUUAGAGAUACUUUAGUGGCGGACGGGUGAGUAACGCGUGAGGAGCUGUCCUAUGCAGGGGGACAACAGCUGGAAACGGCUGCUAAUACCCCAUAAGCCGAGAGGUAAAAGGAUCAAUCCGGCAGAGGAGGUACUCGCGUCCUAUCAGCUAGUAGGUGAGGUAACGGCUCACCUAGGCGAAGACGGGUAGCCGGCCUGAGAGGGCGAACGGCCACACUGGAACUGAGAUACGGUCCAGACUCCUACGGGAGGCAGCAGUGGGGAAUAUUGGGCAAUGGGGGGAAAAACCCCCUGACCCAGCGACGCCGCGUGGGUGAAGAAAUCCUUCGGGAUGUAAAGCCCUGUUGUAUGGGAAGAGCGGAAGACGGUACCAUACGAGGAAGCCCCGGCAAACUACGUGCCAGCCGCCGC